AACACUUGGAAACAGGUGCUAAUACCGUAUAACAACUGAAACCGCAUGGUUUCAGUUUGAAAGAUGGUUUCGGCUAUCACUUCUGGAUGGACCCGCGGCGUAUUAGCUAGUUGGUGGAGUAAUGGUUCACCAAGGCAAUGAUACGUAGCCGACCUGAGAGGGUAAUCGGCCACAUUGGGACUGAGACACGGCCCAAACUCCUACGGGAGGCAGCAGUAGGGAAUCUUCCACAAUGGACGAAAGUCUGAUGGAGCAACGCCGCGUGAGUGAAGAAGGGUUUCGGCUCGUAAAACUCUGUUGUUGAAGAAGAACACAUCUGAGAGUAACUGUUCAGGUGUUGACGGUAUUUAACCAGAAAGCCACGGCUAACUACGUGCCAGCAGCCGCGGUAAUACGUAGGUGGCAAGCGUUGUCCGGAUUUAUUGGGCGUAAAGCGAGCGCAGGCGGUUUCUUAAGUCUGAUGUGAAAGCCUUCGGCUUAACCGGAGAAGUGCAUCGGAAACUGGGAGACUUGAGUGCAGAAGAGGACAGUGGAACUCCAUGUGUAGCGGUGAAAUGCGUAGAUAUAUGGAAGAACACCAGUGGCGAAGGCGGCUGUCUGGUCUGUAACUGA
rnacentral:rRNA from 1 species